UGUAAGGUCCAGUGAAGUUAGAAGACUCUCUGUAAGUAGAUGUGAGGUCCAGUGAAGUUUGAGAUUUAGAAGACUCUCUGUUAGUAGGUGUAAGGUCCAGUGAAGUUUGAGAUUUAGAAGACUCUCUGUUAGUAGGUGUAAGGACCAGUGAAGUUUGAGAUUUAGAAGACUCUCUGUAAGUAGGUGUAAGGUCCAGUGAAGUUAGAAGACUCUCUGUAAGUAGGUGUGAGGUCCAGUGAAGUUUGAGAUUUAGAAGACUCUCUGUUAGUAGGUGUGAGGUCCAGUGAAGUUUGAGAUUUAGAAGACUCUCUGUUAGUAGGUGUGAGGUCCAGUGAAGUUUGAGAUUUAGAAGACUCUCUGUUAGUAGGUGUGAGGUCCUGUAAAGUUUGAGAUUUAGAAGACUCUCUGUUUACUAGAUGUGAGGUCCAGUGAAGUUUGAGAUUUAGAAGACUCUCUGUUAGUAGGUGUAAGGUCCAGUGAAGUUUGAGAUUUAGAAGACUCUGUUUACUAGAUGUGAGAUCCAGUGAAGUUUGAGAUUUAGAAGACUCUCUGUUAGUAGGUGUAAGGUCCAGUGAAGUUUGAGAUUUAGAAGACUCUGUUUACUAGAUGUGAGAUCCAGUGAAGUUUGAGAUUUAGAGAUUGUCUGUUUAAUAGAUGUGAGGUCCAGUGAAGUUUUAGAUUUAGAAGACUGUCUGUUUACUAGAUGUAAGGUCCACUGAAGUUUGAGAUUUAGAAGACUGUCUGUUAGUAGUUUAGUAACAUACAGCAUUAUUUAAAAUACCUCCAUUCAAGUCUUUCUUUCGUGAAAACGUCUGAGUGAGUGGGCUUUAAAACUUGGUCACGGCUCUAACUAUUUUCCCAAAAAUCUGACAGUUGAUGAAUAGUUACAAACAAAAAGUAAAGUAAAUUUUUCAGACCUUGCGAUCUAUAGGUCAGAUGAUGUAAAGGUUAAUCUGUUUCUAUGGCCCACGGCUAACUAGGGUGUCAUGCGGCCAGCAUAACGACCAAUCGCCUUUACUUUUCCCACAUAGAGCUAGAUGACUUGAGAACGCCCUAAAUAAAAAAUUCCAUUCUUCACCGAGAUUCAAAUCCGAGCCCCUCUAGUUCGGUAGCCAAGCGCUUUACCACUCGGACACCUUAUAUCGUUGGAAAAAGAAUUACUAGCUCGUUGGCCACACCGAGAAAACCCUGGUUUAACCGUCAUUAUAGUUCAGAGUAUAACAAGAAAUACAUUUAGAUUUGGCGAGAGAACUAGUUAAUAUUGAUCUAAACAUCUUGUAGGUAUUCUAUUAUUAAGAAUAAACUUAUGUUCAGGACUAUUGUGCGCGUCGUCAUCUCAAUGGCUUUCAUUAGAAUAGUAUCAAUUCUGAGGGUGAGGGUCAGCCAGUGCUAGUAUCAAGUCUGAGGGUGAGGGUCAGCCAGUGCUAGUAUCAAGUCUGAGGGUGAGGGUCAGCCAGAGCUAGUAUCAAGUCUGAGGGUGAGGGUCAACCAGAGCUAGUAUCAAGUCUGAGGGUGAGGGUCAGCCAGAGCUAGUAUCAAGUCUGAGGGUGAGGGUCAGCCAGUGCUAGUAUCAGGUGAAACUAUGGUCUCUGUCCACCACCAGCAUGUGAAGUCUAGCUGCGGCUGCGUGGUGCUCAGGUCUCCGAAUUGAACUACAAGGGUCAUCAGGUGUCACCUAGCAAACGUCGUGGAACAUGAAGAGCACACUGGUCAUCCACUGCACCAAAACA